rnacentral:rRNA from 1 species
GAUCCUGGCUCAGGAUGAACGCUAGCUACAGGCUUAACACAUGCAAGUCGAGGGGCAGCAUUGGAGUAGCAAUACUCAGAUGGCGACCGGCGCACGGGUGAGUAACACGUAUCCAACCUGCCGCUUACUCGGGGAUAGCCUUUCGAAAGAAAGAUUAAUACCCGAUGGUAUAAAGAGUUCGCAUGUUCUCUUUAUUAAAGAAUUUCGGUAAGCGAUGGGGAUGCGUUCCAUUAGAUAGUUGGCGGGGUAACGGCCCACCAAGUCUACGAUGGAUAGGGGUUCUGAGAGGAAGGUCCCCCACAUUGGAACUGAGACACGGUCCAAACUCCUACGGGAGGCAGCAGUGAGGAAUAUUGGUCAAUGGACGAGAGUCUGAACCAGCCCAAGUAGCGUGAAGGAUGACUGCCCUAUGGGUUGUAAACUUCUUUUAUAAGGGAAUAAAGUGAGGGACGUGUCCCUUUUUGUAUGUACCUUAUGAAUAAGGAUCGGCUAACUCCGUGCCAGCCGCGGC